UACGUAGGGGGCGAGCGUUGUCCGGAUUUACUGGGCGUAAAGAGCGCGCAGGCGGUUUUGCAAGUCGCGUGUGAAAGCCCCCGGCUCAACUGGGGAGGGGCACGCGAUACUGGUCGACUUGAAGGCAGGAGAGGGAAGUGGAAUUCCCGGUGUAGUGGUGAAAUGCGUAGAUAUGUGGAGGAAUACCGAUGGCGAAGGCAGCCCCCUGGGAUAACACUGACGCUCAUGCACGAAAGCGUGGGGAGCAAACAGG
rnacentral:rRNA from 1 species